rnacentral:lncRNA from 1 species
CAAUUUUUAAUCAGAAAAAAGUGGAAUACAAGCACAACCAUAUCUUAAAAGGAUUACAACCAUAAAACUUUCUUUCAAAAUUCUCAUAAUUUCAUGUGGUCGUCAAUAAUGAGUAAAUGUCACACCAACAUCUAUCUUAUCUUCUUCUUAAACAAUAAUGGUUCUUGGUCACAAAAGAAUAAUUAGAGUCAGACAUCGUGGAAUCCAAACAAUAGAAAGAAGAUACAAAACAAAUGGAAUACGAACAAUAGGAAGAAGAUACACAUUGAUGAAAGAAUGAACCAAACAAGAUUUAAGAUCAAUUUGGUUGAAAGUUUUUGGAGGGGAGAGGAGAGGAAAGAAUAUUUUAAAUGAUAGGUGUUUCGUUCAGUAUUUAAGGAGGGAAUCAAAAUCCUUUGUAGAGUGAUUUUUCGUUCCUCGAAUUCGAGUUUUCUUGAGGAGAGGAGAAGGGAGGGGAGAAAUGCUAAAAUAUAACUUAUUAUAUUGAUGAAAUUAACAUUGAUG